rnacentral:rRNA from 1 species
UACGUAGGUGGCAAGCGUUUGUCCGGGAAUUAUUGGGCGUAAAGCGCGCGCAGGUGGUCCUUUAAGUCUGAUGUGAAAGCCCACGGCUCAACCGUGGAGGGUCAUUGGAAACUGGGGGACUUGAGUGCAGGAGAGAAAAGUGGAAUUCCAGGUGUAGCGGUGAAAUGGCGUAGAUAUCUGGAGGAACACCGGUGGCGAAGGCGGCGAUCCUGGACCAAUUCGUGACG